UGAAUCGCACCCUACUCCAUUGCUUCAGUGAUAGGCUUCGGAGGUGUCAAGAACUCUCUUGUCAUACACCUCUUUCUAGAGGGAUGAUGUUGAGCAAGGCCAUGCCAGAGUAACACAGGAGUAGGAUUAACCAAAGGUACAUAUAUCUUUCAUUUUGAGAAACGGAAUUCAUCUCCUUGUCAAAAUUCUUUCAGAUUACGCAGGUCAUGGAAGUAGGACGAGGCACUUGAAGACCAGAUGAGAUCACGAGCGAUGU
rnacentral:lncRNA from 1 species